AUUGAACGCUGGCGGCAGGCCUAACACAUGCAAGUCGAACGAGUGGCGGACGGGUGAGUAAUGUCUGGGACACUGCCUGAUGGAGGGGGAUAACUACUGGAAACGGUAGAUAAUACCUCAUACCAUCGGAUGUGCCCAGAUGGGCUUAGCUAGUAGGUUGGGUAAAGGCUCACCUAGGCGACGAUCCCUAGCUGGUCUGAGAGGAUGACCAGCCACACUGGAACUGAGACACGGUCCAGACUCCUACGGUAGGCAGCAUUGGGGAAUAUUGCACAAUGGGCGAAAGCCUGAUGCAGCCAUGCCGCGUGUAUGAAGAAGGCCUUCGGGUUGUAAAGUACUUUCAGCGGGGAGGCGUUACCCGCAGAAUAAGCACCGGCUAACUUCGUGCCAGCAGCCGCGGUAAUUC
rnacentral:rRNA from 1 species